rnacentral:rRNA from 1 species
AGAGAGAGACAUGCGCGCAUAUCAAUAAGCAGGAGGAAAAGAAACUAACAAGGAUUCCCUUAGUAACGGCGAGUGAAGCGGGAAGAGCUCAAAUUUGAAAUCUUCAAGGUUUUACCUUGACGAAUUGUAGUUUAAAGAAGUGUUUUCUGCUGAAGUUUUGGUAAAAGUUCUUUGGAAUAGGACAUCAUAGAGGGUGAGAAUCCCGUAUUUGACCAUUAUUUUCAGCUUUGUGAUACACUUUCAAAGAGUCGGAUUGUUUGGGAAUGCAGUCCAAAAUGGGUGGUAAAUUUCAUCUAAAGCUAAAUAUUGGCGAGAGACCGAUAGCGAACAAGUACCGUGAGGGAAAGAUGAAAAGAACUUUGAAAAGAGAGUUAAACAGUACGUGAAAUUGUCAAAAGGGAAGCGUUUGACACCAGUGUUGUUUUCUCGAAAAUCAAUUAAAAAUGGCUCGAUUUUGUAUUGCUUGAGACCUUAAAAGCUCACUGUACAUUUUUCGUGUCUUUUUUAAUGCACUUUUCGUUUAACAAGUCAACAUCAGUUUCUUUUGUUGUAAAAGGGUCAUUGGAAGGUGGCUUUCUUUUCGGAGAAAGUGUUUAUAGCCUUUGGCCUCUGCAAUCGGAAGAGACUGAGGUCUGCAGCGUAGACUCUUCGGGGUUAGAUACAUUUGUGCUAAGUUAUAGCUUUUCAUAGACAACUUGUUGACUAUAAUUAGUCUUGUAGCUUACUCGCUUAUGCUAUUUUACCUACGCUUAGGAUGUUGAGUCGUAGAGCACGCAG